rnacentral:rRNA from 1 species
AGUGAACGCUGGCGGUAGGCCUAACACAUGCAAGUCGAACGGCAGCACAGUAAGAGCUUGCUCUUACGGGUGGCGAGUGGCGGACGGGUGAGGAAUACAUCGGAAUCUACUUUUUCGUGGGGGAUAACGUAGGGAAACUUACGCUAAUACCGCAUACGACCUACGGGUGAAAGCAGGGGAUCUUCGGACCUUGCGCGAUUGAAUGAGCCGAUGUCGGAUUAGCUAGUUGGCGGGGUAAAGGCCCACCAAGGCGACGAUCCGUAGCUGGUCUGAGUGGAUGGUCAGCCACACUGAAGCUGAGAGACGGUCCAGGCUCCGACGGGAGGCAGCAGUGGGGAAUAUUGGAAAAUGGGCGCAAGCCUGAUCCAGCCAUACAGCGUGGGUGAAGAAGGCCUUCGGGUUGUAAAGCCCUUUUGUUGGGAAAGAAAAGCAGCAGGUUAAUACCCCGCUGUUCUGACGGUACCCAAAGAAUAAGCACCGGCUAACUUCGU